rnacentral:rRNA from 1 species
CCCUUAGAUGUUCUGGGCAGCACGCGCGCUACAAUGGUCUUCGCAAACGGAUGCAUUCUCGAAGGAGAAUGCCAAUCUUGGAAUCUAUGCCUUGGUCGGGACAGUUGCUUGCAAUUUUUCGACUCGAACCAGGAAUUCCUUGUAAUCGUGAUUCAUCACAUCACGAUGAAUACGUCCCUGCCCUUUGUACACACCGCCCGUCGCUCCUACCGAUUGGGUGUUCCGGUGAGGAUUCAGGAUCGAGAGUAUAUUCUGCGGUGAGGUUAUGCUUUGCCGUAGAGCUUUUGAGAAUUUAUUCAAAUCUUAACAUUUAGAGGAAGGAGAAGUCGUAACA